rnacentral:misc_RNA from 1 species
GAUGAAGAACGCAGCGAAAUGCGAUACUUGGUGUGAAUUGCAGAAUCCCGUGAACCAUCGAGUCUUUGAACGCAAGUUGCGCCCGAAGCCUCGGCUAAGGGCACGUCUGCCUGGGCGUCACGCAUCGCGUCUCCCCCAAACCGCCAAGGCGGAGGGGAAGGAAGAUGGCUUCCCGUGCCUCACCCGGCGCGGUUGGCCUAAAUUUGGAGCCCGCGGCACUUAGCUCACGCGGCGAUAGGUGGUGAACAAGGCCUUGGCCGUGCAAACAACCCGCUGCGAAGCUCUAUGUCACGUGCGCUCGUCGGACCCUUUGAAGUUGCCUUCGGUGACUUAAAACCUUUGCGACCCCAGGUCAGGCGGGGCUACCCGCUGAAUUUAAGCAUAUCAAUAAGCGGAGGA